GGGUUGUGAGGUUAAGCGACUAAGCGUACACGGUGGAUGCCCUGGCAGUCAGAGGCGAUGAAGGACGUGCUAAUCUGCGAUAAGCGUCGGUAAGGUGAUAUGAACCGUUAUAACCGGCGAUUUCCGAAUGGGGAAACCCAGUGUGAUUCGUCACACUAUCAUUAACUGAAUCCAUAGGUUAAUGAGGCGAACCGGGGGAACUGAAACAUCUAAGUACCCCGAGGAAAAGAAAUCAACCGAGAUUCCCCCAGUAGCGGCGAGCGAACGGGGAGGAGCCCAGAGCCUGAAUCAGUGUGUGUGUUAGUGGAAGCGUCUGGAAAGGCGCGCGAUACAGGGUGACAGCCCCGUACACAAAAAUACACAUAUUGUGAGCUCGAUGAGUAGGGCGGGACACGUGGUAUCCUGUCUGAAUAUGGGGGGACCAUCCUCCAAGGCUAAAUACUCCUGACUGACCGAUAGUGAACCAGUACCGUGAGGGAAAGGCGAAAAGAACCCCGGCGAGGGGAGUGAAAAAGAACCUGAAACCGUGUACGUACAAGCAGUGGGAGCACGCUUAGGCGUGUGACUGCGUACCUUUUGUAUAAUGGGUCAGCGACUUAUAUUCUGUAGCAAGGUUAACCGAAUAGGGGAGCCGAAGGGAAACCGAGUCUUAACUGGGCGUUAAGUUGCAGGGUAUAGACCCGAAACCCGGUGAUCUAGCCAUGGGCAGGUUGAAGGUUGGGUAACACUAACUGGAGGACCGAACCGACUAAUGUUGAAAAAUUAGCGGAUGACUUGUGGCUGGGGGUGAAAGGCCAAUCAAACCGGGAGAUAGCUGGUUCUCCCCGAAAGCUAUUUAGGUAGCGCCUCGUGAAUUCAUCUCCGGGGGUAGAGCACUGUUUCG
rnacentral:rRNA from 1 species